AACGAACGCUGGCGGCAUGCCUAACACAUGCAAGUCGAACGAGUGCCUUCGGGUGCUAGUGGCGCACGGGUGCGUAACGCGUGGGAAUCUGCCCUUAGGUUCGGAAUAACAGCUGGAAACGGCUGCUAAUACCGGAUGAUAUCGCGAGAUCAAAGAUUUAUCGCCUGAGGAUGAGCCCGCGUUGGGUUAGGUAGUUGGUGGGGUAAAGGCCUACCAAGCCGACGAUCCAUAGCUGGUCUGAGAGGAUGAUCAGCCACACUGGGACUGAGACACGGCCCAGACUCCUACGGGAGGCAGCAGUGGGGAAUAUUGGACAAUGGGCGCAAGCCUGAUCCAGCAAUGCCGCGUGAGUGAUGAAGGCCCUAGGGUUGUAAAGCUCUUUUACCCGGGAAGAUAAUGACUGUACCGGGAGAAUAAGCCCCGGCUAACUCCGUGCCAGCCGCCGCCGUAA
rnacentral:rRNA from 1 species